rnacentral:rRNA from 1 species
AGUGAACGCUGGCGGUAGGCCUAACACAUGCGAGUCGAACGGCAGCACAGUAAGAGCUUGCUCUUACGGGUGGCGAGUGGCGGACGGGUGAGGAAUACAUCGGAAUCUACUUUUUCGUGGGGGAUAACGUAGGGAAACUUACGCUAAUACCGCAUACGACCUACGGGUGAAAGCAGGGGAUCUUCGGACCUUGCGCGAUUGAAUGAGCCGAUGUCGGAUUAGCUAGUUGGCGGGGUAAAGGCCCACCAAGGCGACGAUCCGUAGCUGGUCUGAGAGGAUGAUCAGCCACACUGGAACUGAGACACGGUCCAGACUCCUACGGGAGGCAGCAGUGGGGAAUAUUGGACAAGGGGCGCAAGCCUGAUCCAGCCAUACCGCGUGGGUGAAGAAGGCCUUCGGGUUGUAAAGCCCUUUUGUUGGGAAAGAAAAGCAGCAGGUUAAUACCCCGCUGUUCUGACGGUACCCAAAGAAUAAGCACCGGCUAACUUCG